AAACUAUUCGAAUAGCCGUGCCCGCGGUUAUGGGCGGGUCUAACAAUGUCUUUCGUGAUUAGUUUCACACUUCUUACCAUAAUAAAAGAUGCUAUAACUGUAAUAAUUUGUUUAGCUCCUGGUUUGGAAUGGUAUAUUCCUGGUUUGGAGAUAGAUCUGCACAGCCGGGUAUGGUUGUUCAGGAUGGUUGGGC
rnacentral:misc_RNA from 1 species